rnacentral:rRNA from 1 species
UUUGAUCCUGGCUCAGAUUGAACGCUGGCGGCAGGCCUAACACAUGCUAGUCGAACGGUAGCACAGAGAGCUUGCUCUCGGGUGACGAGUGGCGGACGGGUGAGUAAUGUCUGGGAAACUGCCUGAUGGAGGGGGAUAACUACUGGAAACGGUAGCUAAUACCGCAUAACGUCGCAAGACCAAAGAGGGGGACCUUCGGGCCUCUUGCCAUCAGAUGUGCCCAGAUGGGAUUAGCUAGUAGGUGGGGUAACGGCUCACCUAGGCGACGAUCCCUAGCUGGUCUGAGAGGAUGACCAGCCACACUGGAACUGAGACACGGUCCAGACUCCUACGGGAGGCAGCAGUGGGGAAUAUUGCACAAUGGGCGCAAGCCUGAUGCAGCCAUGCCGCGUGUAUGAAGAAGGCCUUCGGGUUGUAAAGUACUUUCAGCGGGGAGGAAGGUGUUGUGGUUAAUAACCACAGCAAUUGACGUUACCCGCAGAAGAAGCACCGGCUAACUCCGUGCCAGCAGCCGCGGUAAUACGGAGGGUGCAAGCGUUAAUCGGAAUUACUGGGCGUAAAGCGCACGCAGGCGGUCUGUCAAGUCGGAUGUGAAAUCCCCGGGCUCAACCUGGGAACUGCAUUCGAAACUGGCAGGAUGGAGUCUUGUAGAGGGGGGUAGAAUUCCAGGUGUAGCGGUGAAAUGCGUAGAGAUCUGGAGGAAUACCGGUGGCGAAGGCGGCCCCCUGGACAAAGACUGACGCUCAGGUGCGAAAGCGUGGGGAGCAAACAGUAUUAGAUACCCUGGUAGUCCACGCCGUAAACGAUGUCGAUUUGGAGGUUGUGCCCUUGAGGCGUGGCUUCCGGAGCUAACGCGUUAAAUCGACCGCCUGGGGAGUACGGCCGCAAGGUUAAAACUCAAAUGAAUUGACGGGGGCCCGCACAAGCGGUGGAGCAUGUGGUUUAAUUCGAUGCAACGCGAAGAACCUUACCUGGUCUUGACAUCCACAGAACUUUCCAGAGAUGGAUUGGUGCCUUCGGGAACUGUGAGACAGGUGCUGCAUGGCUGUCGUCAGCUCGUGUUGUGAAAUGUUGGGUUAAGUCCCGCAACGAGCGCAACCCUUAUCCUUUGUUGCCAGCGGUCCGGCCGGGAACUCAAAGGAGACUGCCAGUGAUAAACUGGAGGAAGGUGGGGAUGACGUCAAGUCAUCAUGGCCCUUACGACCAGGGCUACACACGUGCUACAAUGGCGCAUACAAAGAGAAGCGACCUCGCGAGAGCAAGCGGACCUCAUAAAGUGCGUCGUAGUCCGGAUUGGAGUCUGCAACUCGACUCCAUGAAGUCGGAAUCGCUAGUAAUCGUAGAUCAGAAUGCUACGGUGACUACGUUCCCGGGCCUUGUACACACCGCCCGUCACACCAUGGGAGUGGGUUGCAAAAGAAGUAGGUAGCUUAACCUUCGGGAGGGCGCUUACCACUUUGUGAUUCAUGACUGGGGGUGAAGUCGUAACAAGGU